rnacentral:rRNA from 1 species
UGCCAGCCGCCGCGGUAAUACGGAGGGGGCUAGCGUUGUUCGGAAUUACUGGGCGUAAAGCGCACGUAGGCGGACUAUUAAGUCAGGGGUGAAAUCCCGGGGCUCAACCUCGGAACUGCCUUUGAUACUGCAGAUCUAGAGUCCGAGAGAGGUGAGUGGAAUUCCUAGUGUAGAGGUGAAAUUCGUAGAUAUUUGGGGAACACCAGUGGCGAAGGCGGCUCACUGGCUCGAUACUGACGCUGAGGUACGAAAGUGUGGGGAGCAAACAGGAUUAGAUA